CUAUACUUUCUCUAGACACAUGUCUGUUUAGCGGUUACGCCUGCUUAAGCACACACAGGCUCUCUUACAUGCACUUGCUAUGUCUGACCCGCAGGUCAUGCUGAAGUGACUUUGUGCCCCAUUUGUAACUGGGCCUCUUUGAAAGCGGGCCUCGCAUUCCUGCUCCGUCGGACGGGGACGUCCUGCUUAUUGCCAGCGAGUAGGAAGUUUCUGCCGUUAGGGAUUAUGUGCUGUUUCCUCACUCAGAAGCUUUCGGCUUGUCCCCUCCCACUUUCGAAAAAGCAGCGACUCCACAAACUAGAAAACGGAGCAAACUAAAUACCUGCCUCUCUGACCACCAGCUUCAGCCUUUCAGCCCUGCUCGUCUGCGCUUGUGCGAUUGCUGGGAGGAGGCAGCCUCGUUCCAUCCGCUUUUGUGUGGUUGUACAGAAGUGCUGCGGUUGGGAGGAGGAGGAGGUGAAGGGGAACAGCUGCUCCCCCACAGAAGCCGGUUUCCCAGCCUGACAGGCAGCGAGAGCAGCCAGUGCCGGGGCUUUUUUCCCGGGGGUUGGUUCGCAAGUCUCCGCAGCUCCAGCUAGGAGGGAGAUUUUUAUGGCGGCGGCGAAACACGAAAUGGACCAGAACAAGUAGGAUUCUUUCCUUCACAAGGCCAGGCUCUCAUGAUCUCCCACAGAAAUCAGGAGCAGUUAUGAAUACAUCUCCACUGAAACUCGACCAGGUUUCUCUCAGCCGAUGGGACUCCAGUGGACCCCACGGCUGCUCUGAGCGUCUUCCACCAGUCAGAGCUCUUAACCCAUCGGAUGGCGGUUAGCGGUGGCCGCAGGUGCUCCUGUUACCUGCACGGAGAGCUGCUGUGUAGAAAUGAAGAAGUGUGUGUGUAUAAGUUUGCAGUAGCAGUUUCAGCAGGUGAGUCUGACACACAAAUA